rnacentral:tRNA from 1 species
GCUAGUGUGGCAGAGCUUGGUAAAUGCAAAAGACUUAAGUCCUUUACGCAGAGGUUCAAAUCCUCUCUCUAGCU